CACCGCGGUCAUACGAUUAACCCAAACUAAUAGGCCUACGGCGUAAAGCGUGUUCAAGAUACUUUUACACUAAAGUUAAAACUUAACUAAGCCGUAAAAAGCUACAGUUAUCAUAAAAUAAACCACGAAAGUGACUUUAUAAUAAUCUGACUACACGAUAGCUAAGACC
rnacentral:rRNA from 1 species